ACCAUAUGGUCGAGAGGCAAGGACACUUGACUUUCACUCAAAGGUCCCGGGUUCGAAUCCCGGCCGUGGCA
rnacentral:tRNA from 1 species